UGAGUGCGAGCUGCUACGGCAGCGAAGUUGGUGAUGUCAUGCUUCCAAGAAAAGCCCUAUACCCGUUAAGGCAUCAUGGCCUGUACCCGAAACCGACACAGGUGGGGUGGUAGAGAAUACCGAGGGGCGCGAGGUAACUCUCUCUAAGGAACUCGGCAAAAUGGCCCCGUAACUUCGGGAGAAGGGGUGCCACCGCAAGGUGGUCGCAGUGAAGAGGCCCAGGCGACUGUUUACCAAAAACACAGGUCUCCGCUAAGUCGCAAGACGAUGUAUGGGGGCUGACGCCUGCCCAGUGCCGGAAGGUUAAGGAAGCUGGUCAGCGCAAGCGAAGCUAGCGACUGAAGCCCCGGUGAACGGCGGCCGUAACAAUAACGGUCCUAAGGUAGCGAAAUUCCUUGUCGGGUAAGUUCCGACCCGCACGAAAGGCGUAACGAUCUGGGCGCUGUCUCGGAGAGAGGCUCGGCGAAAUAGAAUUGUCUGUGAAGAUGCGGACUACGUGCACCCGGACAGAAAGACCCUAUGAAGCUUUACUGUAGCUUGGUAUUGUGCCCGGGCUCGCAAUGCGCAGGAUAGGUGGGAGGCUUUGAUCAUCGGCUUGCGGGUCGAUGUGAGCCAACGGUGAGAUACCACUCUUUGCGAGCUAGGGUUCUAACGGCCACCCGUCAUCCGGGGGCCGGACAGUACCUGGUGGGCAGUUUGACUGGGGCGGUCGCCUCCUAAAAGGUAACGGAGGCGCGCAAAGGCUUGCUCAGGCUGGUUGGAAAUCAGCCGACGAGUGUAAAAGCAGAAGCAAGCUUGACUGUGAGACCAACAAGUCGAACAGGGAGGAAACUCGGCUUUAGUGAUCCGACGGUUCUGAGUGGAAGGGCCGUCGCUCAACGGAUAAAAGUUACUCUAGGAUAACAGGCUGAUCUCCCCAAGAGUUCACAUCGACGGGGAGGUUUGGCACCUCGAUGUCGGCUCAUCGCAACCUGGGGCUGAAGUCGGUCCCAAGGGUUGGGCUGUUCGCCCAUUAAAGCGGUACGCGAGCUGGGUUCAGAACGUCGUGAGACAGUUCGGUCCAUAUCCGGUGCACGCGCAGGAAUAUUGAGAGGAUUUCUCCCUAGUACGAGAGGACCGGGAGGAACGCACCUCUGGUGUACCAGUUAUCGUGCCAACGGUAAACGCUGGGUAGCCAUGUGCGGAGUGGAUAACCGCUGAAAGCAUCUAAGUGGGAAGCCCACCUCAAGAUGAGUAUUCCCAUGGCGUAAGCCAGUAAGGUCACGGGAAGAACACCCGUUGAUAGGCUCUAUGUGGAAGCGCAGUAAUGCGUGAAGCAGAGGAGUACUAAUAGACCGAGGGCUUGA
rnacentral:rRNA from 1 species